rnacentral:rRNA from 1 species
AUUGAACGCUGGCGGCAUGCUUUACACAUGCAAGUCGAACGGCAGCGCGGGCUUCGGCCUGGCGGCGAGUGGCGAACGGGUGAGUAAUACAUCGGAACGUGCCCAGUAGUGGGGGAUAGCUCGGCGAAAGCCGGAUUAAUACCGCAUACGACCUGAGGGUGAAAGCGGGGGAUCUUCGGACCUCGCGCUAUUGGAGCGGCCGAUGGCAGAUUAGCUAGUUGGUGGGGUAAAGGCCUACCAAGGCGACGAUCUGUAGCUGGUCUGAGAGGACGACCAGCCACACUGGGACUGAGACACGGCCCAGACUCCUACGGGAGGCAGCAGUGGGGAAUUUUGGACAAUGGGCGAAAGCCUGAUCCAGCAAUGCCGCGUGUGUGAUGAAGGCCUUCGGGUUGUAAAGCACUUUUGGCGGGAACGAAAAGGACUGUGCCAAUACCACGGUCCGAUGACGGUACCCGCAGAAUAAGCACCGGCUAACUACGUG